CACAAACAUAAAAAAUAUGUUUUUCAAAGUAACCGUUGCCAUGGUUACCAUGUUAAUUACACCCCAUUGAUGAAAAAUCAACAUGUUUGUAAACAUGAUAUCUCAAGAAGUAUGAAUUUUAAAAACCUAAAAUAACUUUAUUUAAUACUAUACCACAUAUACUCUUGUACUUCAGGUUACUCUUGGGGAUGAGCUAGAACUAUGGUGAUUGAGGCAAAUAUUUUUUUG